CUAACCUCUAAAGUUCUUUUCUAUCGAGACGCUGUUCGAGGGUGGUCACGUUAGUCGUUGCGGGGUACUUUCUUUCCUGACAUUGUUCUUCAUAAAAAAGCUAAUUCCAUGUGGCCAUGCCUGUUGCCCACUUGUUCAAAAUGUCGUCUCUUGCUGCAUGUUGCACGUUUCCUCACAUGGUUGAUGGAGAUUUAUCUCAAUGUGCAGUGCCAAGUCAACAAGAUGCCUGUGAUGUAUCGUCUUGUGAGAUGAAAAUGUGAAGAAAUUGGGAAAUCUGAAAUGAUUCCUUAGUCAGUCUGGUGUUAGAGCUGAAAAUGGUGUUGAUGUCUGGUGUGCAAUGGUGUGGCAGUCAUUUUCUGAUAGAGUUGUGCUGAAAUGGAUCUUAAGUAGACUUGCAGAGUCAGUUCAACAUCAGACUUCAAUUUACCAUGUUGGUGUCCAUGCAGAGUUGAGCUGUUGUGCAAAAUAGUUGGUGUUGCCUGGCAUCUUGUUUGUGUGUUCUCUUGCUACCUGUACCCAUGUUGAGGUUUGUUGUAUACUCUGCUUCUAAAUGAGACAACUUGUGAAAAAAGUCAGCUUGUGAAGAGAUGAAAAAAAUUCUUAUUAAGGUUUCUUGUUCAGUUUGAGCUUAAUGGUGUUGCCUGGUGUGCAGUGGUUUUGCAGUAAUUCAGUUGAGAUGCCCUGAGAUGGAUGAUGAACGCCUGAGACUUCUCUCACAUCAUAAUCUUUUUCUAUGGAGACGCUGUUCGAGAAGGCCAUUGCAGGCAACUUUCUGACAUUGUGUCUUAUAAAUGUAGUCAUGUUGGCUUUACUUUUUUUUUCAUGGACCAAGUGCCUGAUGUUGGCAACAUUGAAAUUUAUGCCACUGACCUGACUUCAUUUUCUCUGGACAGUGUCACAUUGUUCGUGAUCAAUGCGGUCGACUUCAACAUUCUACUUCUCAAAGAAGAUGGAGAAGAACAGCGAUAGAAUAUUUGUCAGUCUGAGCUUCAUUGCUGUCAUGUAGUUGGUUUGUUGCAGCCAGCUGGUGAAAGUGAGUCCAAGUUGAGUUGAGCUGCAUGUCCUUGAAGCAGUCAACAAGGGUGGUUAUUCUGAAAUGAAACAUCAAUGAAGACAUCUUGAAAAGGUCUUGGUGACGACGUGAUCAUCAAUCUUCUGCAUGCCGUUUUUGUUAUCAAGAAUUGGAGAAGUAAGACUUGUAGCAAAGCUGCCAGAAAAAGAAAUGGUUUCGACGGAAAUGUGCAGCGGUUUUGCAGUCCGACUCCUGUUCAAGCUGUUGCUUUCCUGAAUUUUGCUGCGAUCGUUGUAGUAGCUGAACCUGAAGUUAUGAUGCUGGUGUUAUCCUGAAAUAGCUGUUGUUGGUUUUAUCAAGUUACUGUGGCAGUGCAAUUCGGGUUGAUAAAAAAAUAUUAUAUCCAUAUAGUAUGUGAUUGUAGUAACCUUAAGCUGUUUCGUUAUCCAUUGUGGCAUGUUGCAAUCCGAUGUUUGUUAAAACAGCAGUUGUGCUUCCUGAUAUCAUCCUCACCCGUAUAUAUCUUAAAUAAUGGUGUGUCAAAGUUAACUUGCAAUAUUUCGAUGUGCGUUGGAAGGUUAUACUUGAUAUUUUUCACAAUUAUAUGUGAAAUGUUAUAAUAAAUACAAACACAUCCAAUUUUAUAAAA